AUCUGGAGCAUGUGUGGUGAAUGCUGAAUGGAGAAAGUAGCUACACCAAGUGUCAUGCCUCCGAGUUCUCGUGGAAUUUCAUCGGUACCUCUAAAAGGUGCUUCUAUUGCUAAAAGAAAGACGCCUUCAGAACUUAGGGGAGAGCAGUUGAAGCGGGAUAUUUUUGUGGACUAUACUGAUGAAUCUCCGACCUCGGCUGGUUCCUCGAACUGCUGAGGUGGGUAAUAGAUUUAAAAAACCAGGAUUAUUUAAGGCCCCGAGAUACAAUGACACACAGCUUGAUGAUGUAUUUUCUGCCAAGAAGCCG